UACGAAGGGGGCUAGCGUUGCUCGGAAUCACUGGGCGUAAAGCGCACGUAGGCGGAUUGCUAAGUCAGGGGUGAAAUCCCGGAGCUCAACUCCAGAACUGCCUUUGAUACUGGUGAUCUUGAGUCCGGGAGAGGUGAGUGGAACUGCGAGUGUAGAGGUGAAAUGCGUAGAUAUCGGGAGGAACACCAGUGGCGAAGGCGACUUCUUGGCCUGUUCUUGACGCUGAGGCGCGAAAGCUGGGGGAGCAAACGGG
rnacentral:rRNA from 1 species